GACGUAGGAUGCAAGCGUUGUCCGGAUUUAUUGGGCGUAAAGAGUUCGUAGGCGGCCUGACAAGUCUGAUGUUAAAGCCCGAAGCUCAACUUCGGUAGGGCAUCGGAUACUGUCAAGCUGGAGUAUGGCAGAGGCAAGGGGAAUUCCGGGUGUAGCGGUGAAAUGCGUAGAUAUUCGGAGGAACACCGGUGGCGUAAGCGCCUUGCUGGGUUAUUACUGACGCUGAGGAACGAAAGCCGGGGGAGCAAAUGGG
rnacentral:rRNA from 1 species